CCCGGCCCAGGGGGAGGGACGCCCGGCCCCGGCCGCUCCACUGCUCCGGCCGCGCGUCCUGUGCCCGUCCGCCCGCCUUCCUGCUGCCCCGGCCCCCGGCCGGUUUCUUUGUGCGGCGCUGCCGGCCGGCGUGUCCCUUCUCCGGGCCUCUCCCCUCGCCGCGGCCGCCGCGGGACCCUGCGCGGGGGAAUGCUCUGCGGGCCGAGUUCGAGGAGACAGGAAGUGAGGCGUGCGAGCCCCAUGAGCGCGCCGCGGCGCGGGCUGGCGUGCGGGCGCGGCUGCGGUGGCCGCGCGGCGGGGCCCCGGGAGGCGGGCCGCUGAACUGGGCGCGCGGCCCCGAGGAUGCGGGAGCGGGAGCAGCACUGGCGUGGGUGCUCCCAUCACCUGGUCUUUGGAGACUCAGUUGCUUUUUAAUGGCGGCAGCAGCUGCUGGGUGAGCAGCCGGAGACUGUACAGUACUCCUCCCUUCAGGACAGGAUUGCUUUCUCUCGCCAUUACCACCGCUGGAUUGGUGGCGGUGCUUUUCCCUUUUCACCGCUCCAACUCUUGAAGGGAGAAGAAGAUGCCACUGCCAUUUGGAUUGAAACUAAAACGCACGCGGCGCUACACGGUAUCCAGCAAGAGCUGCCUGGUUGCCCGGAUCCAGCUGCUCAACAAUGAGUUUGUAGAGUUCACGCUGUCCGUGGAGAGCACUGGCCAGGAGAGCCUAGAGGCUGUGGCCCAGAGACUGGAGCUUCGGGAGAUCACUUACUUCAGCCUCUGGUACUACAACAAGCAAAACCAGCGCCGGUGGGUAGAUUUGGAAAAACCUCUAAAGAAGCAGCUGGAUAAACAUGCGUUGGAACCUACCGUCUAUUUUGGAGUGGUGUUUUAUGUGCCUUCAGUUUCACAGCUGCAGCAGGAGAUUACCAGGUAUCAGUAUUAUCUGCAGCUGAAGAAAGAUAUCUUGGAAGGAAACAUUCCUUGUACAUUAGAACAAGCAAUUCAGCUAGCAGGCUUAGCUGUUCAAGCUGAUUUUGGUGACUUUGAUCAGUAUGAAUCCCAGGACUUUCUUCAGAAAUUUGCCUUGCUUCCUGUGGAGUGGUUACAAGAUGAAAAAGUAUUGGAAGAAGCAACCCAAAAAGUGGCCUUACUGCAUCAGAAAUACAGAGGGCUGACAGCUCCUGAUGCUGAAAUGCUAUACAUGCAGGAGAUAGAGAGAAUGGACGGCUAUGGAGAAGAGAGCUACCCUGCCAAGGAUAGCCAAGGCAGCGACAUAUCCAUCGGAGCGUGUCUCGAAGGUAUCUUUGUGAAACAUAAGAAUGGAAGGCCUCCUGUGAUAUUUAGGUGGCAUGAUAUUGCUAACAUGUCCCACAAUAAGUCCUUUUUUGCAUUAGAGCUGUCAAAUAAAGAGGAGACCAUCCAGUUUCAGACUGAAGACAUGGAAACAGCAAAAUACGUGUGGAGACUCUGUGUUGCGCGACACAAGUUUUACAGAUUGAAUCAGUGCAGCCUGCAAACUCAGACCGUCCUAGUGAACCCAGUUAGGAGGAGGUCUUCUUCGAGGAUGUCUCUGCCUAAACCCCAGCCCUAUGUGAUGCCUCCCCCACCCCAGCUGCAUUAUAAUGGACAUUAUACAGAACCGUACACUUCUUCCCAAGAUAACCUGUUUGUGACCAGCCAGAAUGGAUUCUACUGUCACUCUCAGACAAGUCUGGAUCGAGCCCAGAUUGACCUGAGUGGUCGCCUCCGCGACGGCAGUGUCUACAGUGCACACAGCACCAGCUCCUUAAAUAACCCCCAGCCCUACUUGCAGCCCUCACCCAUGUCCUCGAACCCGAGCAUCACCGGGAGUGACAUCAUGAGGCCUGACUACGUCCCGUCGCACCGGCACAGCGCCCUGAUCCCCCCGUCCUACCGCCCGACCCCCGACUAUGAGACGGUGAUGAAGCAGCUCCACAGAGGCCUGGCGCCCGCCGACAGGCAGAGCCACUCGCUGAGAAACCUCAACAUCGGCAGCUCGUACGCGUACAGCAGGCCCGAUGCGCUGGUCUACAGCCAGCCCGAGAUCCGGGAGCACGCGCACUUCAGCUCCCCGCCGUCGGCCCACUACCCGUUCAACCUGAAUUACAGUUUCCACAGCCAGGCCCCUUACCCGUACCCCGCAGAGAGGCGGCCGGUGGUGGGUGCCGUCAGCGUGCCCGAGCUGACCAACGUGCAGCUCCAGGCCCGGGACUACCCAGCCCCCAACAUCAUGAGGACGCAGGUGUACCGCCCGCCGCCCCCCUACCCGUACCCCAGGCCCGCCAACAGCACCCCUGACCUGUCCCGCCACCUCUACAUCAGCAGCAGCAACCCCGAUCUCAUCACCCGGCGGGUCCAUCACUCUGUCCAGACGUUCCAGGAGGACAGCUUGCCGGUGGCGCAUUCCCUGCAGGAGGUCAGCGAGCCCCUGACCUCAGCCCGGCACGCCCAGCUCCAGAAGAGGAACAGCAUUGAGAUCGCCGGGCUGACCCACGGCUUUGAGGGCCUGCGGCUCAAGGAGAGGACCAUGUCGGCGUCAGCGGCGGACGUGGCUCCGCGGGCCAUCUCCGCGGGCUCCCAGCCAAACGUCGUCACUGAAAGGACAAAGCGAGAAGAGGACGAUGAGCAGCAGAGCCUGAGAUACGGUCACAAAAAGUCCCUUUCAGACGCCACCAUGCUGAUACACAGCAGCGAGGAGGAGGAGGAGGACUUGGAAGAGGGGCGCGGGGCGCAGGCGCGGGCGCCCCCGGGCAGCUACUCCCAGCAAGCCCCGCGGAGCGGCCCCCACACGCCCGGCCCCCCGGCCGCCGGCCCCACACACAGCCUUGAGCCCAAGGCCCACGUCACUGAGGCCGAGAGAAAGGGGAGGGCCGGCAGCCCAGUUCCCAUGCCCGGGGAAGGCCCGCGGCCCAGGAGGGACGGGCUGCUGACGCCCUCCAUGUCCGAGUCCGACCUCACCACGUCCGGGAGGUACCGCGCCAGGAGGGACUCUCUGAAGAAGAGGCCGGUGUCAGAUCUCCUCUCCGGAAAGAAGAACGUCGUGGAAGGGCUUCCGCCGUUAGGGGGAAUGAAAAAGAGCCGAGUAGAUGCAAAAAAAAUUGGUCCUCUCAAACUGGCUGCCCUAAAUGGACUCUCCCUGUCUCGACUGCCUCUGCCUGAUGAAGGAAAGGAGGUGCCUGCCAGAGCCACGAAUGAUGAGAGGUGUAAAAUUCUGGAACAGCGGUUAGAACAAGGAAUGGUAUUCACAGAAUAUGAAAGAAUUCUUAAAAAACGGCUCGUUGAUGGGGAGUGUUCAACCGCACGACUCCCUGAAAAUGCAGAAAGAAAUCGGUUCCAAGAUGUUCUUCCCUAUGACGAUGCCAGAGUGGAACUGGUCCCAACCAAAGAAAACAAUACCGGUUACAUCAACGCGUCACAUAUUAAGGUCUCUGUCAGUGGAAUUGAAUGGGAUUAUAUUGCCACUCAGGGACCAUUACAAAAUACCUGUCAGGACUUUUGGCAGAUGGUGUGGGAACAGGGAAUUGCAAUUAUAGCAAUGGUGACAGCAGAAGAGGAGGGUGGAAGGGAGAAGAGCUUUAGGUAUUGGCCACGCCUUGGUUCCAGGCACAACACUGUCACCUAUGGAAGGUUUAAGAUCACCACCCGGUUCCGCACAGACUCUGGCUGCUAUGCCACCACGGGCUUGAAGAUGAAGCACCUUCUCACGGGGCAGGAGAGGACGGUGUGGCAUCUCCAGUACACAGACUGGCCUGAGCAUGGCUGUCCAGAGGACCUCAAGGGAUUUUUAUCAUACCUUGAAGAGAUCCAGUCUGUUCGACGCCAUACAAAUAGUACAAGUGAACCAAAAAGCCCCAACCCUCCAUUACUGGUCCACUGCAGUGCUGGCGUGGGACGGACUGGCGUCGUUAUUUUGUCAGAGAUCAUGAUUGCCUGUCUGGAACACAACGAGGUGCUGGACAUCCCACGGGUGCUGGACAUGCUGAGGCAACAGAGAAUGAUGAUGGUUCAGACCCUCUGCCAGUACACGUUCGUAUACCGAGUUCUCAUUCAGUUCCUGAAAAGCUCAAGGCUCAUAUAAGCUCCCACAACUUCCUACGGGGACCCGAUCAUGUGAAGCGUUUACAGCGGAAAAAAAAAGUGCUUGCCGAACUCAUGCUCUCUCCUCCACUCGGUGCACGCGGAAUGCUACAUCAGGACGUAAGUGACGGGAUGAAUGGUGGCACAUGGAAGGAAGUAUGCAGAGCACAAGGCUGAAGAGGGGGUUUAACCUGGGAAAGAUGCCGAAGAGGAAGGACUUGGUUCUGAGGGCGUUGCCCUGCUCUGAUCUGUCCGAUUUGCAGUCCUUGCACACAUUUGGAGAUUGUAUUUUCUAGAUAAUUCUCUAUUUCGCUGAAGCUACGCUGGGCAAUUCUGGCAAUCACUAAGGCGUAUAGGUUUCUAUCUUAAACUAGUUUUUGAUAAUGGAAUUUUAUUUUAUGACUAAAAUAUUUGGGGUUUUCUUAUUAAGAAACUGAACUUUCCAUGGGGAUGAUCCACAGAUGUGAGUAGUUCCUAUAUAACUUUGUAUUUAAAACUAUGUUAUUAUCUUUUGUUAUUUUAAAGAAAUCUUGGGUACUUAACAAUGUAGUUACCAAACCCCAAGCUACAAGAAGAAUCUAAAAGUGUUAUUUUGAAACAUAGAAAACAUUUUUAUAUUCAGAAAAUUUUUUAUCCUAAAAAUUCUAUAUAUUUGUACCUUCUGUAUUUUCCAAACAAGAGUUCAGCUCAUUAAGGUACUGAGAUGAGUCAGUUAAUGUAAGUUAAAGUUGGGAAUGAAGGCACAUUAUUUAAAAUGUAUGAAAAUAAUCAGAUUCACUAUUUUUUUUUCAGUAUUAUUCAUAAACCCAAAUGAGUUUGAUUUUAUUGGUUGAAAAUGAAGUGAAAAACAGUUGCAUAAGAUGGUUUUAAGCACUUUUUGUUGUUGAAAACAAUAAAUCUGAGUUUUUAAUAUAUGUGUUGCUUUAUAGGUGAAACAGUAACAACGGACAUAUUGAAAGUGUUUUGGAAGAGAUCAGGAAUGAGUAUGUAGGAUGACUAGGACAAGAAUCUGAUCGCAAAGAGGCAUAUAAUUAGCCCCAUUUCCCCAGUGGGUUAUUUUAAAUUAUGUUCCAGACAAUAGAUGUUUCUUCUAGUAGUUGUCAGUUUGUCGUCACACAUCUGCACCAUCAUCCAUCACUUACGAGUUAGAAUGCAUCUUAUCAAAACAGCCAACUUCAUUAAUCAGGACAUUUGUGGAACAAUUAAUAUAUUUGAAGAAAAAAUAUUUAUGUACUUCCCAGCAGGUUGGCAGAGCUCCUCACACUAUCAUCCCUGUAGUGGAACUUACUGUUAUUGGUUGAAUGUCCACUUCAUUUAUUAGUGGGGUUGUUUCUGGACCAGCAACAUUGGAAACUUGUUAGAAUGCAGAUUCUUGAAGUACAUCCCAGGUCUGAAAAUUCUGAAUCAGAAGCUAUGGGCAUGGGACCCAGAAAUCUGCCUUAACAAGGUCUCCAGAUGAUUCUGAUAUAUAUUAAAGUGGGAGAACUGCUUUAGUUAUUAAAAAGCCGUAGAUGUUCAAUAUAGACCACAACUUGGGAUUCAUUACAUAGCCAGGCUACAAGUAAUAGGCACUAAGGUUUACUUAGGCAAGUUUUAUUAGGUUAAUGAUAUUUACAAUUGUGGUAGACUGAUGGGCCCCCAAAGGUGUCCAUGUUCUGUUCCCCUGAAGUUGUGAAUGUUAUCUUACAUGGCAAAAGGGACUCUGCAGAUGUGAUUAAAGCAGGGUUCUUGAGAUGAGGAGAUUGUCCUGGAUUAUCCAUGUGGGCCCAAAGUAACCACAGGGUCUUUCUACAAGGGAGGCAGGAGGGUCACAUUGAGCAGAGAUGUGAUGACGAAAGCAGAGGUGAGAGAGAUUUAAGGAUGCUAAACGGCUGGGCUUGAUGAUGGAGGAAGGGGCCACAAGUGAAGAAAUGCAGGCAGCCUCUAAAAACUGGAAAAGGAACAUGCUCCCCUAGAGCCUCCAAGAAGAAUGCAGCCCUGGCAACAUCUUGAUUUCGUGACUUCUGGCUUCCAGAACUGUAGUCCCUAAGCCUGGAUCCUGAACACAGCUUCCCACACAUGAGACGAACCUGUCACCCAUCUACCACCAGAAAUCAGCUCUAAAUCUCCAGUGCCUUUAGAGAAGCAAGCAGCCAGGCUGUGAGCUGUCUAUGGAGAGGGCCAAGUAACGGAAUGGCGGGCAGCCUCUAAUCGCUAAGGGUGGCCAAUGGCCGCAGCCGGCAAGAACCUAAAGCCCUCAAACCUAAAGUUACAAGGAAAGAAAUUAUGCCAACAACCUGAAAAGAGUUUGGAAGCAGAAUCUACCCUCAGUCCAGCCUCCAGAUGAGACCACUGCCCAAGCCAACACCUGGAUUAUAGAUUUGUGAGACCAAGGGCACAGGACCCAUCUAUGCUGUGCUCAGACUCUUGGUCCACAGAAACUGUGGGAUAAAUAAUACAUGUGUGCUGUUUCAAGCUGCUAAAUUUACAGUAAUUUAUUAUACAACAUA